rnacentral:lncRNA from 1 species
UGAAUUCAUAUAUUAACUCUGUCAAUACAGUAACAACUUACAAAAAUAGUAGUGUUUUGAAGAAUUGAGCUUUUAUGUUUUUAUAAAAGUAUCAAGUUAUCGAUACUUAUAAAUUUUUUGCCAAUGAAUUAAGAAAUGUAUAAUUAGGAUGAUAUAAAUUUUUUAAGAUUUGAGUGGAUGAUUGAUUAAAUAGCAUAACUUAAUAGAUAAAAAUAAUCAAAAGUUUAAAUCUAACGAUAACGUAGUUGAUACUUUUAUAAGCAUCAUGGU